AUUAUUUGACUUGACAAUCAGAGUGCAGAGGCUGUACAGAGACCAGCAAAGCAGAGACAUUUCCACAAUGCAAGCAGGAAUAAAUAGGAUAUACGCAUUCACAGAAUGGCUGAGGCAGAAACUGGGCUUCCUCAGUUUAACAACUGGGCAUGACGAGUACAUGGAGGAACAUGAACAGAACCAAGAAGUGCCUGAGAGGGAUGGGGUUUCACAUGAAGAAAGACAUGCACAACAUUCAUCAAACAUGCCUCAGGGAUCUAUUUUGUAGCUGUGUUGAUCUGAGACAAAGAGAAAUGCAAAACUCUAAAACUUUUGUUGAUUCAGAGAUGAUACCUUUUAUUAAACCAACUAAAUAUAGCAAAAAA